UGUGUGUGUGAGAGAGGCUGUGUGAGAGAGGCUGUGUGAGAGAGAGAGAGGCUGUGAGAGAGAGAGAGAGGCUGUGAGAGAGAGAGAGAGAGAGAGAGAGAGAGAGAGAGAGAGAAAGAGAGGCUGUGAGAGAGAGAGAGGCUGUGAGAGAGAGAGAGAGAGGCUGUGAGAGAGAGAGAGAGGCUGAGAGAGAGAGAGAGGCUGAGAGAGAGAGAGAGAGAGAGAGAGAGAGAGAUGCAAACUGGUCAGGAUCAAACUGCUUACACACAUUCCAAAUGCAGACAUAACUUAUGUAUUUAUUUUGACAGGGCUUGGAAGAUUCCUGUGCUCUCUCACCUUGGUGAGAUACAUGCAGUGUCCCUUUGGACUGUCUCUUUUCCUAACAAGCUGCCAUGAUGAGAGAGACAGACCACAGCCCAGUCAUGUUCCUGUCAGCAGGGCAGCUGGGGCUAGGCUACACAUGCUGGACAUUGUGAAUGAAAGUCCCAAGCAGACCUGGGUUCAAAUCCUAUUAAAAGCGUUCAAACACUUGGAGCAUUUGCUUGAGUCUGCCUGGAGUGCCAGGUGGUGGGUGGGACUUUUCAGUUGGUUCCAUUGCAUCAGGAAAUCUCAUCAAGCGCCGGCUAAAGCAUUUGAAAUGAUUCUCAACACUAUUUGAACCCAGCGCUGGCCCUAAGGCAGGAAACCCAUCUGAUUUGUUUCAGGAUGUAAUAAGGUCUUCCUAAGGGCCUGUGUUUGGGGUGCGAUCGGUGGAGGGAAAUGUGUUUCUGCAGCAUUGAAUCCCUGAUGAGCUAGAUGACGUUAUGCUCAUUGUUUUGAUAAAACGUUUAAACCCAAGCAACUCUAAUGAACUUGUGUGCAGUGGCGUACCACAUUUUCCUUCCAUAGACAAGCAAUGGGAGCACACUCUUGAGUUUGAAGUCUUGUGUCACUGUCGCAGAAAUGAAGGAUAUUCAUUAGAAGUCAAUUAAGUUUCUAUCAGUGUAGUUACAGUAGAUUGUGUCCCUGUCAUGUUCAAUGCAGUGUUUGCGGUUCAUUUAUUAGCGCACAUGACAUGAGCGCAAAGCAAAAAUAUGUC
ensembl:lncRNA